rnacentral:rRNA from 1 species
AGAGUUUGAUCCUGGCUCAGGACGAACGCUGGCGGCGUGCUUAACACACGCAAGUCGAACGGAAAGGCCCUGCUUGCAGGGUACUCGAGUGGCGAACGGGUGAGUAACACGUGGGUGAUCUGCCCUGCACUUCGGGAUAAGCUUGGGAAACUGGGUCUAAUACCGGAUAGGACCGCACUUUAGUGUGUGUGGUGGAAAGUUUUUUCGGUGUAGGAUGAGCUCGCGGCCUAUCAGCUUGUUGGUGGGGUAAUGGCCUACCAAGGCGGCGACGGGUAGCCGGCCUGAGAGGGUGUACGGCCACAUUGGGACUGAGCUACGGCCCAGACUCCUACGGGAGGCAGCAGUGGGGAAUAUUGCACAAUGGGCGCAAGCCUGAUGCAGCGACGCCGCGUGGGGGAUGAAGGCCUUCGGGUUGUAAACUCCUUUCGCUAGGGACGAAGCUUUGUGUGACGGUACCUAGAUAAGAAGCACCGGCUAACUACGUG